rnacentral:rRNA from 1 species
CCGAGUUUACAACUCCCAAACCCAAUGUGAACGCUACCAAACUGUUGCCUCGGCGGGAUCUCUGCCCCGGGCGCGUCGCAGCCCCGGACCAAGGCGCCCGCCGGAGGACCAACCCAAAACUCUUGUUGUACGCCCCCUCGCGGGCCUUUUACAUUCUGAACCUUCUCGGCGCCCCUCGCGGGCGUUCCGAAAAUGAAUCAAAACUUUCAACAACGGAUCUCUUGGUUCUGGCAUCGAUGAAGAACGCAGCGAAAUGCGAUAAGUAAUGUGAAUUGCAGAAUUCAGUGAAUCAUCGAAUCUUUGAACGCACAUUGCGCCCGCCAGUAUUCUGGCGGGCAUGCCUGUCCGAGCGUCAUUUCAACCCUCGAACCCCUCCGGGGGGUCGGCGUUGGGGAUCGGCCCUCUACCGGCCGGCCCCGAAAUACAGUGGCGGUCACGCCGCAGCCUCCCCUGCGCAGUAGUUUGCACACUCGCACCGGGAGCGCGGCGCGCCCAAUGCCGUAAAACACCCAACUUUCUGAAGUGUUGACCUCGGAUCAGGUAGGAAUACCCGCUGAACUUAAGCAUAUCAAU